UGACGCCGUGCAGAAGAGCUGGGUCCUUGGCAUCGUAACGGAGGUCUUCACGGGUGCGAACGGCAGAAUCCAACCGGACAUGGUGAAGGGCAAGUUUAGCAGGUUGAUGACAAGACCGGCUGUGCUCGAGGUGCAGGAGGGUAAAUCCGGUGCAGCCAAGAAGCCCCACCAGAGUUACGGGAGGGGGUGUGUUGGCACAGCUCCGUACCACUUUGCGACGGCGCAACCAGAGCGCAGCAUGCGGUUCACACAGGACAAGACAACACCCGUGGAUGGAUGAACAGUGCGCUGAGCAUAGAUGUCAGCAGGUAUGUUGGGAGAGUGAGAGGAAAGUAGAAGUAAAUAAAAACAUUAAAAAGAUAAGUGAGAAGAUGGACAAAAUGGUUUGAUAGCAAACAGAAACGGUAUAGUUCAAGCUAGGAAAGUUAAAGUACGUUUCAAUUUGAGAAUCAGUUCGUUAUUUUACAAAAGAAUCUGAUCGGGUAGCCAAUAGCACUGAGAAGGAUAAAUCGUGGUAGUUUUGUGAUUCUGAUUAGUGAAGGAUCCUAGUGAGCCGAACCCGCGACAGAAACCCGCCGUUCAGGUCCGGAGAAAUAAGAAAGACCAUUAAAUGUAAGUAGUCAUAAUUAAUGAUGUGAAACGGCAAAAGAAAUGAUAAUGGUAAAUGUUUGUAUAUUUUGUUAUCGUUUAUAAUAAACAGUUUCAAGCUGCCAUAACUAAAGUGCUGCUGUGGAAAUUUGGUUUUAAUUAGGGUGGUCCAAAAACGAACAGUUAUAGUUGUAUGAGUCGCGAACGCCUAUUUAAAAAAAAUCAUGUGACAAUGUAUGGAUUUAAUUUGUGAUGAGCAAAAAAAUUACACCAUUGCUCAAUGAACAAGAUUUGAUCUAGCACCGCAAAAAAUGAUGGUAUAGCAAGAAGUGACAGUGACAGUUAAAGCACAGGAAAGAAUGGAUCAGAACGAUAUGCAUAGGUUUUAGGCAUCCUUCAAUGGAGUCUGAUCACAAUUCGGAAAUGUUUUGUCAGCCCGAGUAUGCUGUUACUUUCUUAUCUAUCUUCUAGCUAUUGAUGUCGUCAUUCUAAGCAUCGGUUUACCACCGGUCACUGCCAUCAGCAGAUUAUUCCGCUUCCGGACCUUGGGCACGGUGCCAACAAUUAUACUUCCAACCCGAAGCCCCUUUCUCUACGGAGAUGAUAGAGACUUCAGAUAUGGCAACCCAAUCCGCCGCAGAGUGCUAAAUGUACAGGAAUAAAUUUUCAAUUUCCCGAGCAGAUUUGAUUUACGAUUCCAGCAGCGGGUCUCAACUGGCUCAGUCUUGGCCGUCGCCAGCCAGUGCGCGGUCUAAUUUGUUGUCGAAUAAAUCAGCCCCUUUUCUGCUUCUGGUCCGUUUGGCCUGGGCAGAGGCGCAGAGCUGAUGGUUCUAUUAAUUAUUCAUGAACAGUUUUUAAAGUCGCUUUUCGUGUUUGUUAUGGGGUCUAGAGAAUUGGUAGUUUGUAAGUCAAUGUCACCUCUUCGAAAUGGAAAUUUCUGCUGAUUCUCGCCCAUAUCCCGGAUAUAUGAAAGGAGAUUCACCAAUAGGUAAUGCAGUUUAAUUACGCGAAAACCACACAUUGCGCCAAUCAACGCC